GGCAUUAUGUGCUUGCACAUUUUGGACGUCGACCGGCGCACGGGUGAGUAUCGCGUAUCCAACCUGCCCUUUACUUGGGGAUACCCCGUUGAAAGACGGCCUAAUACCCGAUGUAAUUCAUUGAUGGCAUCAGAUAUGAAUAAAAGAUUUAUCGGUAAAGGAUGGGGAUGCGUCUGAUUAGCUUGUUGGUGAGGUAAUGGCUCACCAAGGCUACGAUCAGUAGGGGUUCUGAGAGGAAGGUCCCCCACAUUGGAACUGAGACACGGUCCAAACUCCUACGGGAGGCAGCAGUGAGGAAUAUUGGUCAAUGGGCGCAAGCCUGAACCAGCCAAGUAGCGUGCAGGAAGACGGCCCUAUGGGUUGUAAACUGCUUUUAUACGAGAAUAAUUUGAUGCACGUGUGCGUUAUUGCAUGUAUCGUAUGAAUAAGGACCGGCUAAUUCCGUGCCAGCAGCCGCGGUAAUACGGAAGGUCCAGGCGUUAUCCGGAUUUAUUGGGUUUAAAGGGAGUGUAGGCGGUUUGUUAAGCGUGUUGUGAAAUUUAGGUGCUCAACAUUUAACUUGCAGCGCGAACUGUCAGACUUGAGUACACGCAACGUAUGCGGAAUUCAUGGUGUAGCGGUGAAAUGCUUAG
rnacentral:rRNA from 1 species